UGUAGAUACUCCCUAAGGCUU
rnacentral:miRNA from 3 species